UACGAAGGGGGCUAGCGUUGCUCGGAUUGACUGGGCGUAAAGGGCGCGUAGGCGGUUUGUACAGUCAGACGUGAAAUUCCUGGGCUCAACCUGGGGGCUGCGUUUGAUACGUGCGAGCUUGAGUUCGGAAGAGGGUCGUGGAAUUCCCAGUGUAGAGGUGAAAUUCGUAGAUAUUGGGAAGAACACCGGUGGCGAAGGCGGCGACCUGGUCCGAUACUGACGCUGAGGCGCGAAACCGUGGGGAGCAAACAGG
rnacentral:rRNA from 1 species